AGACUGGGGCUCCUCUGCGUUGCCCGACAUGACUUUCCCUCCCUGAGAAAUGUCCGGCAUGCUUCCACGAGCCCACGACGGGCCAUGUCAGAGGGCUGUGCCGCCUGCCCUGUGG
rfam:Tupaia chinensis contig117306, whole genome shotgun sequence.